CUUGUCUUUUCUGAACCCCCAAACACAUCCCACUGCAUGGGUUGUCCAAGCUUGGAAAUGGGAGAGUGACCCUGCCAUCCCCAGGGACAUGGCCUGGCCUUGGGGUGGAUUCCCACCUCACUGGCGGGCCUAGGGUGCUGUUUAAACAGCAGCCAGAGGCUGGGCGCGGUGGCUCACGCCUGCAAUCCCAGCACUUUGGGAGGCCAAGGCAGGUGGAUAACCUGAGGUUAGAAGUUCGAGACCAGCCUGGCC
rnacentral:lncRNA from 10 species